UACGGAGGGAACUAGCGUUGUUCGGAUAUACUGGGCGUAAAGCGCACGUAGGCGGCGCCGUAAGUCAGGGGUGAAAUCCCGGAGCUCAACUCCGGAACUGCCCUUGGAACUGCAGUGCUAGAAUCUUGGAGAGGCGAGUGGAAUUCCGAGUGUAGAGGUGAAAUUCGUAGAUAUUCGGAAGAACACCAGUGGCGAAGGCGACUCGCUGGACAAGUAUUGACGCUGAGGUGCGAAAGCGUGGGGAGCAAACAGG
rnacentral:rRNA from 1 species